GGGGCAUUAGCUUAGUUGGGAGAGCAGCUGACUCUUAAUCAGCAGGUCGCAGGUUCGAACCCUGCAUGCCCCA
rfam:Bacillus smithii strain DSM 4216, complete genome.